rnacentral:rRNA from 1 species
UACGGAGGGUGCGAGCGUUGUCCGGAAUCACUGGGCUUAAAGGGCGCGUAGGCGGGCGGUUAAGUCUGCGGUGAAAUCCUCCAGCUCAACUGGAGAACUGCCGUGGAUACUGGCUGUCUCGAGGAAGGUAGGGGCGUGUGGAACUAUCGGUGGAGCGGUGAAAUGCGUUGAUAUCGAUAGGAACUCCGGUGGCGAAGGCGACACGCUGGACCUUUUCUGACGCUGAGGCGCGAAAGCCAGGGGAGCAACGGGG